UUGACACUCCUGGAGACUGAAGGCCUCCAUUUCGCUACAGAGCAGGCGCAGCACUAACAGCAGCAGAGUAACUUUCUCCAUGCUGAUGCUUUUCAAUGAACCUCAGUCCUGUCUAGAGGGGAGAGACUAGCUCAGUUGUUUUGGACCUUCCUCCUCUCCCUUGA
rnacentral:sRNA from 1 species